UCCAAAUCAAAAUUUGGCUCUGCCACCUUUUACCUCUCUACUUUUGCAAUGAAGACUAUUUCCAUUUGUAUGGCCGUCUUUCUCUCCUUGUUUUUGCUUGCCAACUUCUGCUAUGCAGCAGAAGAAAAUGAAGCUGCCUUUCUGCCUGCUCGAGGAGCUGAUAUCACCAAAAAUGGAGAAGAAGCCAAAGAAGAGAAAUUCAAGUUUCUUCCUCACCACAUACCAUUCUACAAGAAGCCCAUUUUCAAGCCAAUUCCUCAUCAACCAAUCAUCAAGAAGCCAUUUCCUAAACCAUAUCAUCCACCAGUGCUCCCCAGCCAUCCUUGAAAGUAUGCUCGAUCUUAUAAUGCAAUGGAAUAAGAACACAUGUAGUAACCUUAAGCUUUAUCUUAGUUUCAUUUUAGAAGUUCAUAAAUGAUCAGAAGGCUUCAAGCUGAGAGUCAAGAGGAUAUACGAAGAAAACAAUAAUUUGGUUAGGGGGAAAAUAAAGAGACAGUGAGCUCUCUAUACUACUCAUGUAAUGUACUGUUAUGUUCAAGGUGGGGUGUUGAUCAUGCAAUGUAGCAAUAGAACAAAAUAUGUUGAGUCCAGUGUGUAUUUUGGCCCAAAAUAUAUUCACAUUACCUUCACUACAAA